AGAACGAACGCUGGCGGCAUGCCUAACACAUGCAAGUCGAACGAGACCUUCGGGUCUAGUGGCGCACGGGUGCGUAACGCGUGGGAAUCUGCCCUUGGGUUCGGGAUAACAGUUGGAAACGACUGCUAAUACCGGAUGAUGUCUUCGGACCAAAGAUUUAUCCGCCCAAGGAUGAGCCCGCGUAGGAUUAGCUUGUUGGUGAGGUAAGAGCUCACCAAGGCGACGAUCCUUAGCUGGUCUGAGAGGAUGAUCAGCCACACUGGGACUGAGACACGGCCCAGACUCCGUACGGGAGGCAGCAGUGGGAAUAGUUGGACAAGUGGGACGAAAG
rnacentral:rRNA from 1 species